rnacentral:rRNA from 1 species
UACGAAGGAUGCAAGCGUUAUCCGGAUUUAUUGGGUUUAAAGGGAGCGUAGGCGGUCUUAUAAGUCAGUGGUGAAAUCUUGUCGCUUAACGACAAACGUGCCAUUGAUACUGUAGGACUUGAGUACAGAUGCCGUUGGCGGAAUGUGUCGUGUAGCGGUGAAAUGCAUAGAUAUGACACAGAACACCGAUUGCGAAGGCAGCUGACGAAACUGUAACUGACGCUGAGGCUCGAAAGCGUGGGGAGCGAACAGG